rnacentral:lncRNA from 1 species
UAAAAAAAAAAGAAAAAUAAAAAUCCCUCAAAUUUGGGUGUUUUGCAGCAGUAUUUUUGUCUAAAGAUACAACAUUAAAAAAAUUUGGCAAAGUUGGUUUUCCAUUGUAAAUAAUUCAUACAAACACAAAACAGAUAUUAAAGAAUGUACAUGCUAUUUUAGGCACAAAACAAGAACAAAAAACAAUAAACAACAUAUAACAGUAUAUUAUAUAAAACAUAUAUGAUGGUGUGGAGAAGUCUUAAUCAAUAAACACAAUAACAUUACAUACGGUAAUGCUAAGUUGCGUAAGUGUACAUUAUUCUAGUAAUGGAAGCCCGGGAUCCCAGUAAAGGUUGACAACGUGUAGAGACUUUGUUUUAAAAAAUAUAUUCUUUUCUAGUAUUCGCGUUUCUUUUAGAUAGUUUGUCAGCCCUGCAAAAUUUACUUGAUUUUCACACAGUUUUGUUCUUCAGAUAAAGAAUUUUGAUAAAAGUAUUAUUAAAUUUGUUAUUCUAUUAUUUUAUGUUUUUACCUAAAUUUUCGAAUAAAAUUAUAUCCAUGUUAAUUUGAAUAUUUAUUUGUGUUUGGUUAUAAAUUCAGUCACGUUUUGAAGUUUUCCUUAUGUUUGUUUUGUCCCUGUAUUUGAUUUAAACAAAAUUGGUUCAGUGACUUUAGAUUGAUAAGUAAUGUUUAAUGUAAAGUUGUUGGGUUUUGGGGCUACACUACUUGUGUCACACAACACCUACAAACAAAACGAAAAAAAAACAACUUGCAAACUUCAUUAGUUUCACCUUUAAAUAUAUUGAUCAUGUUCUGUCUCAAAACCCAUAUUUCAGAGAGUUCUUGCAACAUUAAUAUCCCAAUUAGCUUGACAUGAGGGUUACUACAGAAAAUAGAAGUUCUUCUUUAUAUCUUCCUCGAAGAACGACUUCAAUUUAGAACCUAUAAUAAACUUGAUGAUUCUUAAACUUCAUUUGUCAACUUUUCGUUUUUAUGAAGUAACAUACUACAUGUUCCGUCUUUUGGCCCGUGUGACCCUUAUUUUUGUUUGCUAUUUCUAAUGUUAUUAGGUCUUUCCACUUUUCCGUGGAAAGACCUAUUGGUUUUCUUCUGAUUAUUAUUAUUUUU